rnacentral:rRNA from 1 species
UACGGGGGGGGCAAGCGUUGUUCGGAAUUACUGGGCGUAAAGGGCUCGUAGGCGGCCAACUAAGUCAGACGUGAAAUCCCUCGGCUUAACCGGGGAACUGCGUCUGAUACUGGAUGGCUUGAGUGUGGGAGAGGGAUGCGGAAUUCCAGGUGUAGCGGUGAAAUGCGCAGAUAUCAGGAGGAACACCAGUGGCGAAGGCGGUGCUCUGGGCCGGAACUGACGCUGAGGAGCGAAAGCGUGGGGAGCAAACAGG